rnacentral:rRNA from 1 species
UAUCUCUGUAGAGUCUGCAUAUCAAUAAGCGGAGGAAAAGAAACUAACUAGGAUUCCCUCAGUAACGGCGAGUGAAGCGGGAAGAGCUCAAAUUUGAAAUCUUCAAGGUUUUACCUUGACGAAUUGUAGUUUAAAGAAGUGUUUUCUGUUGGAGUUUUGGUAAAAGUUCUUUGGAAUAGGACAUCAUAGAGGGUGAGAAUCCCGUAUUUGACCAUUACUUUCCAGCGUUGUGAUACACUUUCAAAGAGUCGGAUUGUUUGGGAAUGCAGGUCCAAAAUGGGUGGUAAAUUUCAUCUAAAGCUAAAUACUGGCGAGAGACCGAUAGCGAACAAGUACCGUGAGGGAAAGAUGAAAAGAACUUUGAAAAGAGAGUUAAACAGUACGUGAAAUUGUCAAAAGGGAAGCGUUUGACACCAGUGUUGUUUUCUCGAAAAUCAAUUAAAAAUGGCGGGAUUUUGUGUUGUAUUGACUUUAUCAGCUUUCUGCACUCUUUUCCUGUCUUUUUUAAUGCACUUUUCGUUUAACAAGUCAACAUCAAUUUCUUUUGUUGUAAAAGGGUAAGAGGAAGGUGGCUUCGGCUUCGGUUGAAGUGUUUAUAGCCUUUUAUCUCUGCAGUCGGAGAGAUUGAGGUCUGCAGCGUAGACUCUUCGGGGUUAGAUACGUCGGUGCUAAGCUAUAGCUUUUCAUAGACAACUUGUUGACUAUGUUUAGUCAUGUGGCUUACCCGCUGGCGCUAUUUUACCUACGCUUAGGAUGUUGAGUCAUCACACAUCUCU